UCUGAUCCGCAUGUCGUGACUCCCAGCUGUUCGACGCCCUGACGCACUUCCCCAGCGCCAGGUCCCGGACGGAUGGGGAUCAGGGCAGGCGGCCGGACCCUA
rfam:Cnuibacter physcomitrellae strain XA(T), complete genome.